UUUGCUACAGAUUCGAAAUUUAAGAACUGGUCAGCAGCAAAUACUGUGAAUCGAGCAUCAAAUGCUGGAAGUUCCAUGCAUACUGGUGGUUCCAUAUCUAUGGGUGAACAUGCACGCAGAAUGGGUGAAUUCAAAAAGCGAAAGACAGAACUUUUUCAAGUAGCUUUAUCCUUGGAUAAUGAGGGAGAUGUUGAGGCAUCUAAGGAAAGCCUAGAUAUACCAGAUGAUUAUACUGUUUGGAAUGAAGUUGUGACAAAGG